rnacentral:lncRNA from 1 species
UCAAAUCUAAGGAAUGCACUAGCCAAACCUAGCGUAAGACUCGAUAAUAUCAAUAUUAAGGCCAACCUAGCAUAUUUACAACUCAUGAGAACAAUCAUAACAUCACACUAAUCAAGCUCAACAAAAACAUUACCCGAAAUAAUAAAAAUAAGACUAAAUCAAUUCAAUAAAGAUAAUAAUAAGUAAUCAUGCUAAAAACCAAUCCAACACAUAGCAAAUCAUCAUGCUAGAACAACCAAUAAGCAAGGUCUAAGAAUAUUAAGUUGUCGC